rnacentral:rRNA from 1 species
UCCCAUCAAGCCAAGUUCCCGGAGGAGAUCACCCAGCUCAUCAUGCUAGAGCACUUUUUCAAUGUGCUCCCCAACGACAAGGCGACAACGCAUUCGUAUGUCAAUCCAUAUCAACUUUCGAUGCCAUUUACGUCGCCUACCAUGGUGACCACGGGUAAUGGGGAAUCAGGGUUCGAUUCCGUACAGGGACCCUGACAAACAGCUACCACAUGCAAGGAAGGCAUCAGGCGCGCAAAUGACCCACUCCCGAUGCGGGGAGGUAGUGACGA